rnacentral:rRNA from 1 species
GGCGGCAUGCUUUACACAUGCAAGUCGAGCGGCAGCGCGGGACUCAGGCAACUGAGCCCUGGCGGCGAGCGGCGAACGGGUGAGUAAUACAUCGGAACGUGUCCCGUAGUGGGGGAUAGCCCGGCGAAAGCCGGAUUAAUACCGCAUAUGCUCUACGGAGGAAAGCAGGGGACCCGCAAGGGCCUUGCGCUAUGGGAGCGGCCGAUGUCCGAUUAGCUUGUUGGUGGGGUAACGGCCUACCAAGGCGACGAUCGGUAGCUGGUCUGAGAGGAUGAUCAGCCACACUGGGACUGAGACACGGCCCAGACUCCUACGGGAGGCAGCAGUGGGGAAUUUUGGACAAUGGGGGAAACCCUGAUCCAGCCAUGCCGCGUGAGUGAAGAAGGCCUUCGGGUUGUAAAGCUCUUUUGGUCGGAAAGAAAAGGCCACGGAUAAUACCCUUGGUCCUUGACGGUACCGGCAGAAUAAGCACCGGCUAACUACGUGCCAGCAGCCGCGGUAAUACGUAGGGUGCGAGCGUUAAUCGGAAUUACUGGGCGUAAAGCGUGCGU